rnacentral:misc_RNA from 1 species
CAUGUCGCAAAUUUAUUGUCAACAGAACCGGCUGACAUUAAACUUGGUAUUGGAGGCUUCAGCAUGGGUGCAGCUACUUCCUUAUACUCUGCAACAUGCUUUACUUUAGGGAAGUAUGCAAAUGGAAAUCAGUACCCUGGCAAUUUGAGUGCAGUUGUUGGAUUAAGUGGCUGGCUUCCAUGUUCAAAGACCUUGAGUAACAAAAUUGAGGGGGUGGAAGAAGCUGCAAGGCGUGCCUUAUCCCUGCCCAUAUUGCUCUGUCAUGGCAAAGGUGAUGAUGUGGUUCCUUACAAAUUUGGCGAGAAAUCCUCACGGGUUUUGGCUUCUACUGGAUUCCAGGAUGUGACAUUCAAGGCAUACAAUGGGCUCGGCCACUACACAAUCCCUCAAGAGAUGGACGAGGUCUGCACUUGGCUGACAUCCAAAUUGGGGCUUGAAGGUUGCUCUUCAUGAUAUCAUUAAAGAUUGAGCAACAGCUUGGAGAUUGGAGAUGAUGGAAAAAUGGAAGAUAAAAUUUUUUUUUUUUUUUUUUUUGACAAAGAAAAAAAUUAUUUACAGUUGCAGGAAACAAAACUACGUAGCCCAAAUGUUAUCUGGGUCUGUUGCUCGUGAUAGUUAGAUUUUGCUAUCAGAAAUCUGUUCUUUCUCUUGCACUUAAAGACUCGGGUGAAUUUCAUUUAUGAAUCAUGGGAUUGUAUAUC